rfam:Hordeum vulgare subsp. vulgare, WGS project CAJW01000000 data, contig: morex_contig_58679
AUGAUACUCCCUCCGUCCAAAAAUACUUAUCCUAUAAAUGGACGUAUCCAGACUUAUUUUAGUUAUAGAUACAUCCAUUUUAUUUAUUCUUAGGACAAGUAUUUCCGGACGAAGGGAGUACAAU